rnacentral:rRNA from 1 species
GCAGUCGAACGUGAAGGUCGAGAUGAUUACUUCGGUUUGAUUCUUGGCUGGNNNNNNNNGAACGGGUGAGUAACACGUGGGUGACCUGCCUCGCAACUGGGGGACAACCAUUGGAAACGAUGGCUAAUACCGCAUUGUCCUAUUUCUGUGGGAACAGGUAUAGGUAAAGCUUUGGCGCUUCGAGAGGGGCCUGCGUCCGAUUAGCUAGUUGGCGGGGUAAUAGCCCACCAAGGCGACGAUCGGUAGCUGGUCUGAGAGGACGAUCAGUCACACGGGAACUGAGACACGGUCCCGACUCCUACGGGGGGCAGCAGUGAGGAAUAUUGCACAAUGGGGGAAACCCUGAUGCAGCAACGCCGCGUGGAGGAUGAAGGCUUCGGUUGUAAACUCCUUUUCUGGGGGAAGAGCAAGGACGGUACCCCAGGAAUAAGUCACGGCUAACUACGUGCCAGCAGCCGCGGUAAUACGUAGGUGGCGAGCGUUAUCCGGAAAUACUGGGCGUAAAGCGCGCGCAGGCGGUUGGUCAAGUCCGGCGUGAAAGCUCCCGGCUUAACUGGGAGAGGUCGUUGGAAACUGAUCGGCUUGAGGCGAUGAGAGGGGUGCGGAAUUCCCGGUGUAGUGGUGGAAUGCGUAGAUAUCGGGAGGAACACCAGUGGCGAA